GGGGAGAGUGGCGAACUGGUGAGUAACGCGUGGGUGACCUGCCCCGAAGACGGGGAUAGCCGUUGGAAACGACGGCUAAUACCCGAUAUACUCGGUGAUUCGGUUCAUCGAGUAAAGGCUCCGGUGCUUCGGGAUGGGCCUGCGGNCUAUCAGCUAGUUGGUGGGGUAAUGGCCCACCAAGGCGAAGACGGGUAGGGGGCGUGAGAGCGCGGCCCCCCACACUGGCACUGAGAUACGGGCCAGACUUCUACGGAAGGCAGCAGUCGGGGAUAUUGCACAAUCGGCGAAAGCCGGAUGCAGCGACGCCGCGUGGGCGAUGAAGGCCUUCGGGUUGUAAAGCCCUUUUAUGGGGGAAGAGACAAGGACGGUACCCCAAGAAUAAGCGUCGGCUAACUACGUGCCAGCAGCCGCGGUAAAACGUAGGACGCAAGCGUUAUCCGGAUUUACUGGGCGUAAAGAGCGUUGAGGCGGUUCCGUAAGUUGGGCGUGAAAGCCCCGGGCUUAACCCGGGGAGGUCGUUCAAUACUGCGGGACUUGAGGGCAGCAGAGGGAGGCGGAAUUCCCGGUGUAGCGGUGAAAUGCGUAGAUAUCGGG
rnacentral:rRNA from 1 species